rnacentral:rRNA from 1 species
UUAAGCGACUAAGCGUACACGGUGGAUGCCCUGGCAGUCAGAGGCGAUGAAGGACGUGCUAAUCUGCGAUAAGCGUCGGUAAGGUGAUAUGAACCGUUAUAACCGGCGAUUUCCGAAUGGGGAAACCCAGUGUGAUUUGUCACACUAUCAUUAACUGAAUCCAUAGGUUAAUGAGGCGAACCGGGGGAACUGAAACAUCUAAGUACCCCGAGGAAAAGAAAUCAACCGAGAUUCCCCCAGUAGCGGCGAGCGAACGGGGAGGAGCCCAGAGCCUGAAUCAGUGUGUGUGUUAGUGGAAGCGUCUGGAAAGGCGCGCGAUACAGGGUGACAGCCCCGUACACAAAAAUGCACAUGCUGUGAGCUCGAUGAGUAGGGCGGGACACGUGGUAUCCUGUCUGAAUAUGGGGGGACCAUCCUCCAAGGCUAAAUACUCCUGACUGACCGAUAGUGAACCAGUACCGUGAGGGAAAGGCGAAAAGAACCCCGGCGAGGGGAGUGAAAAAGAACCUGAAACCGUGUACGUACAAGCAGUGGGAGCACGCUUCGGCGUGUGACUGCGUACCUUUUGUAUAAUGGGUCAGCGACUUAUAUUCUGUAGCAAGGUUAACCGAAUAGGGGAGCCGAAGGGAAACCGAGUCUUAACUGGGCGUUAAGUUGCAGGGUAUAGACCCGAAACCCGGUGAUCUAGCCAUGGGCAGGUUGAAGGUUGGGUAACACUAACUGGAGGACCGAACCGACUAAUGUUGAAAAAUUAGCGGAUGACUUGUGGCUGGGGGUGAAAGGCCAAUCAAACCGGGAGAUAGCUGGUUCUCCCCGAAAGCUAUUUAGGUAGCGCCUCGUGAAUUCAUCUCCGGGGGUAGAGCACUGUUUCGGCAAGGGGGUCAUCCCGACUUACCAACCCGAUGCAAACUGCGAAUACCGGAGAAUGUUAUCACGGGAGACACACGGCGGGUGCUAACGUCCGUCGUGAAGAGGGAAACAACCCAGACCGCCAGCUAAGGUCCCAAAGUCAUGGUUAAGUGGGAAACGAUGUGGGAAGGCCCAGACAGCCAGGAUGUUGGCUUAGAAGCAGCCAUCAUUUAAAGAAAGCGUAAUAGCUCACUGGUCGAGUCGGCCUGCGCGGAAGAUGUAACGGGGCUAAACCAUGCACCGAAGCUGCGGCAGCGACACUAUGUGUUGUUGGGUAGGGGAGCGUUCUGUAAGCCUGUGAAGGUGUGCUGUGAGGUUUGCUGGAGGUAUCAGAAGUGCGAAUGCUGACAUAAGUAACGAUAAAGCGGGUGAAAAGCCCGCUCGCCGGAAGACCAAGGGUUCCUGUCCAACGUUAAUCGGGGCAGGGUGAGUCGACCCCUAAGGCGAGGCCGAAAGGCGUAGUCGAUGGGAAACAGGUUAAUAUUCCUGUACUUGGUGUUACUGCGAAGGGGGGACGGAGAAGGCUAUGUUGGCCGGGCGACGGUUGUCCCGGUUUAAGCGUGUAGGCUGGUUUUCCAGGCAAAUCCGGAAAAUCAAGGCUGAGGCGUGAUGACGAGGCACUACGGUGCUGAAGCAACAAAUGCCCUGCUUCCAGGAAAAGCCUCUAAGCAUCAGGUAACAUCAAAUCGUACCCCAAACCGACACAGGUGGUCAGGUAGAGAAUACCAAGGCGCUUGAGAGAACUCGGGUGAAGGAACUAGGCAAAAUGGUGCCGUAACUUCGGGAGAAGGCACGCUGAUAUGUAGGUGAAGCGACUUGCUCGUGGAGCUGAAAUCAGUCGAAGAUACCAGCUGGCUGCAACUGUUUAUUAAAAACACAGCACUGUGCAAACACGAAAGUGGACGUAUACGGUGUGACGCCUGCCCGGUGCCGGAAGGUUAAUUGAUGGGGUUAGCGGUAACGCGAAGCUCUUGAUCGAAGCCCCGGUAAACGGCGGCCGUAACUAUAACGGUCCUAAGGUAGCGAAAUUCCUUGUCGGGUAAGUUCCGACCUGCACGAAUGGCGUAAUGAUGGCCAGGCUGUCUCCACCCGAGACUCAGUGAAAUUGAACUCGCUGUGAAGAUGCAGUGUACCCGCGGCAAGACGGAAAGACCCCGUGAACCUUUACUAUAGCUUGACACUGAACAUUGAGCCUUGAUGUGUAGGAUAGGUGGGAGGCUUUGAAGUGUGGACGCCAGUCUGCAUGGAGCCGACCUUGAAAUACCACCCUUUAAUGUUUGAUGUUCUAACGUUGACCCGUGAUCCGGGUUGCGGACAGUGUCUGGUGGGUAGUUUGACUGGGGCGGUCUCCUCCUAAAGAGUAACGGAGGAGCACGAAGGUUGGCUAAUCCUGGUCGGACAUCAGGAGGUUAGUGCAAUGGCAUAAGCCAGCUU